rnacentral:rRNA from 1 species
CCCUUAGAUGUUCUGGGCCGCACGCGUGCUACACUGAACGGUUCAAUGGGUAAGGUAGUGCGAAAGCAUGACCUAAUCUCGAAAUCCGUUCGUGCUGGGGAUAGAAGCUUGCAAUUAUCCUUCUUGAACGAGGAGUACCUUGUAAGCGUGAGUCAUCAUCUCACGCUGAAUACGUCCCUGCCCUUUGUACACACCGCCCGUCGCUCCUACCGAUUGAGUGUUCCGGUGAGGCUUUGGGAGAAUGGCCUCAACAUGAGUUUAUCGUGUUUUGCCGUUUGAACUUAGUCAAACCUUAUCACUUAGAGGAAGGAGAAGUCGUAACA